rnacentral:rRNA from 1 species
CCUACGGGGGGCUGCAGUGGGGAAUAUUGGACAAUGGGGGAAACCCUGAUCCAGCGACGCCGCGUGAGUGAAGAAGUAUUUCGGUACGUAAAGCUCUAUCAGCAGGGAAGAAAAUGACGGUACCUGACUAAGAAUCCCCGGCUAACUACGUGCCAGCAGCCGCGGUAAUACGUAGGGGGAAAGCGUUAUCCGGAUUUAAUGGGGGUAAAGGGAGCGUAGACGGGAGGGCAAGUCUGGAGUGAAAUGCCGGGGCCCAACCCCGGAACUGCACUGGAAACUGUGAGGCUGGAGUGCAGGAGAGGUGAGCGGAAUUCCUGGUGUAGCGGUGAAAUGCGUAGAUAUCAGGAGGAACACCAGCGGCGAAGGCGGCUUUCUGGACUGUAACUGACGUUGAGGCUCGAAAGCGUGGGGAGCAAACAGGAUUAGAUACCCUGGUAGUU